rnacentral:rRNA from 1 species
GACGUAGGUGGCAAGCGUUGUCCGGAGUUAUUGGGCGUAAAGCGCGCGCAGGCGGUUCGGUAAGUCCAUGGUGAAAGCGCCCGGCUCAACUGGGCGAGUGCCGUGGGGACUGGCCGAGCUGGAGGGGAGGCAGAGGCGAGUGGAAUUCCGGGUGUAGUGGUGAAAUGCGUAGAGAUCCGGAGGAACACCAGUGGCGAAGGCGGCUCGCUGGGCUCUACCUGACGCUGAGGCGCGAAAGCGUGGGGAGCGAACCGG